rnacentral:rRNA from 1 species
UACGGGGGGAGCAAGCGUUGUUCGGAUUUACUGGGCGUAAAGGGCGCGUAGGCGGCCACCGCAAGUCAAUUGUGAAAUCUCCGGGCUUAACUCGGAAAGGUCAACUGAUACUGCGGGGCUAGAGUGCGGAAGGGGCAACUGGAAUUCUCGGUGUAGCGGUGAAAUGCGUAGAUAUCGAGAGGAACACCUGCGGCGAAGGCGGUUCUCUGGGACGGUACUGACGCUGAGACGCGAAAGCGUGGGGAGCGAACAGG